AUGACGAUGCAGAAAGGCAAGAGAGCUGAUAGGCUCAGCGCAUUGCCUGAUGACAUUCUGGUCAACAUUCUUGACCGACUCAAUCUCCGCGAGGCUGCAAGAACCAGCGUCCUCUCUAGACGGUGGACUCAACUCUGUGCCAAGCUGUCUCGACUUAUAAUAAGUGCUCAGCACUUCCUUCCCGAGGGCGUGUUAUGCACCGACAUCUCUGAUAAUGAAUUGGUUCGCAUCAAUGCCGCUGUGGUCCAAGCGAUGGAGAGCAUAUUGACGCGUAGAAAUCCUGGAGAACACACCAUCCGCCUUCUGUCCACGACGUUCUACUUGGGAGAUGAUGUCCCCAUAUCCAUUGGGCGUGCUGUUGGUUGUGCCAUGGCAGCACACCUGGUCGAGAACGCGAAAUUCAGUGUUAUGAGGUAUGACAUGGACGAGGAUGAUCUGGUCACCGCUGGGAGAAAAUUCAUGUUGUUCUUUGAUGCCUGCCCAAGUGCAUUUGGUGGUCUCACUACCCUCGACCUAGAGAAUUUGAGAUUUGGUGAAUCGGACAUAUCCAACGUCCUCAUCACUUGCAAGCGGUUGAAGCAUUUGCGUUUGUACCAUUGUGACUCUGGUGAUUGCAGCACGCUGCCACUUGAACAUGCUCAUCUCAGUGAGCUUAGUAUUGCCCACUGUAGGCUCGCACAAGUUCAGCUGAACUGGCUCCCUCAACUCACAAAGAUGGUCUUUGAAGGUUGGCUGCAGUUCCAAGAUCCACUGUUUAUUGGUCAUGUCCCAUUGCUGGAGGCUGUAAGCCUCACAAAUCUCGCCCUUAGUUACAGCAGGAUGGUUGAGUUAAGUGAGUUUCUUAGUGGUACCUCUAUACGAGAUCUGAAGUUGGAAUUUAAUUCCGAAAAGAUUUGGGUGCAGCCAGAAUGUCCGACGCAAUCCCUGGCAUCUGUUUUCUGCCAACUAAGGUUUGUGAAUCUAGCUAGUCUUCCUGAAGGGUAUGAUCUUACCUGGACAAUGUUUAUUCUUGAAGCUGCGCCCUUACUGAAGGAGCUAUACAUGACGGUAUGGGAUCAUGCGUGUUUAACAGAAACGGAUGAGGAGAAGAGGAAAGAACUACCAUAUAGUGAGAACAAGGGUGUAGAGUGGGACUCUGCCGCAGCAGGUUUCCAACACCACAGCUUGGCCACACUCGUCAUCAUUGGCUUUGAAUCUGAAGACUGCUUUGUGAGUUAUGUCAGACAUGUUAUGGUGACGGCGGUGAAUCUAGCAGAUGUGUUCCUGUAUAGUAGGUUGGAGUGCGGCAACUGCGAGGAGAAGCCUAACAGGUACCCCUGGACUAAAAGGCAGAGGGUCUCUCUGAAGAGGAGGCUUGCAGCUGGGAUUGAGUCGUUUGCCAUAUUUCACUUUGGUGCCAAGAGGCCUGGCCAUGUAGCAAAAAUGGAGUACCCAUAG
rnacentral:rRNA from 1 species